rnacentral:rRNA from 1 species
GAUGAACGCUGGCGGCGUGCCUAAUACAUGCAAGUCGAGCGAACAGACGAGGAGCUUGCUCCUCUGACGUUAGCGGCGGACGGGUGAGUAACACGUGGAUAACCUACCUAUAAGACUGGGAUAACUUCGGGAAACAGGAGCUAAUACCGGAUAAUAUUUUGAACCGCAUGGUUCAAUAGUGAAAGACGGUUUUGCUGUCACUUAUAGAUGGAUCCGCGCCGCAUUAGCUAGUUGGUAAGGUAACGGCUUACCAAGGCAACGAUGCGUAGCCGACCUGAGAGGGUGAUCGGCCACACUGGAACUGAGACACGGUCCAGACUCCUACGGGAGGCAGCAGUAGGGAAUCUUCCGCAAUGGGCGAAAGCCUGACGGAGCAACGCCGCGUGAGUGAUGAAGGUCUUCGGAUCGUAAAACUCUGUUAUUAGGGAAGAAAAAAUGUGUAAGUAACUAUGCACGUCUUGACGGUACCUAAUCAGAAAGCCACGGCUAACUACGUG